rnacentral:rRNA from 1 species
UGGGGAAUCUUCCGCAAUGGACGAAAGUCUGACGGAGCAACGCCGCGUGAGUGAUGACGGCCUUCGGGUUGUAAAGCUCUGUUAAUCGGGACGAAUGGUUCUUGUGCGAAUAGUGCAAGGAUUUGACGGUACCGGAAUAGAAAGCCACGGCUAACUACGUGCCAGCAGCCGCGGUAAUACGUAGGUGGCAAGCGUUGUCCGGAAUUAUUGGGCGUAAAGCGCGCGCAGGCGGAUUGGUCAGUCUGUCUUAAAAGUUCGGGGCUUAACACCGUGAUGGGAUGGAAACUGCCAAUCUAGAGUAUCGGAGAGGAAAGUGGAAUUCCUAGUGUAGCGGUGAAAUGCGUAGAUAUUAGGAAGAACACCAGUGGCGAAGGCGACUUUCUGGACGAAAACUGACGCUGAGGCGCGAAAGCCAGGGGAGCGAACGGG